GCCAGUGUGGUGUAGUGGUUUGAGCACUGGACUACAACUCUGGAGACCAGGUUUCAAAUCCCUGCUCAGUCA